AUCACUCCUCCUCCUCCUCCUCCUGCUGCUGCUGCUGCCGCCGCCGUCCCUGCUCACAGCCUCCUCUCCGCUACCGCUGCUGCCGCCGCUGCUUCUUCUUCCUCCUCCUCAUUUUAAUACAAAAUAACACCGAGGCCACAGGCUUUUUUUUUUUUUUUUUUUCCCUCCCCUCUUCUCCCCCCCCCCCCUCUUUUCUUUCCACAGCCCGAAACGGGAGGAGGACGCAGCCUCCCUGCUGGUGCCCGGAGCCCUUCCCCGGCGGCCCCGGAUCAUCCGACGCGUCCUGGGAGAGAGAAAGUGGCAAAGGAGGAGGAGGAGGAAGAGGAGGAGAGGGGAGCGAGAAGCAUCGGGCGCAUUUUUAACGGGCGGCAAAGGCUUGGCCGGACGGUCCCCCUUCAGUGGAGGGCAUCAUCCACGCGCCGAGGGGGCGACGGUGGGCACCGUGACCGGAUCGUGCAACAACAGACGCCAGGUAACAGCAACAAAUCGUUCCGUGCUCAUCAUGAGGAAAUCCCGCAGCGCAAACUGUCCCUGGACCGUGGCCUGCAGAGCGGGACCCAAAGCCACCGGUAAAAGGUGAAAACGAAAAAGGUGGUAACGUAUUGACGAAAUAAAUUAACUGGGAGACAGACGUAACUUUUUCCCAUCAUGCACUUGGAAAAAAAAGUAACCCAACGAGACAAACUUGAAAGCAACAAGUUUGUACAAGCUGUGAGAUAAGAGAAAAAAUAAGCUUUAUUGAUAAAAUGCACAGUGUUAGAACACACUGUGAAAGGAAAGUUGCAUCCUCAGCCAAAGGAAACAUGAACUACUGCACGGGCACAUACGUAGCCAAAAUGUUUAGGGUAGUAACUUAAGAAAACCCCAACAAACAACUGCACCCUGCAAACUUGAAGCAGCAACACAUGUAGAGAAGUGGGGAGGCUAAUACCCAUUCUGGAAUACACAAAAUAGCAUGGCCUCUGGACAAAGAAAGGGUGAAUCAGUUAAGUCUGUGAAGAGCAGAGUUACCACUACUCAUAUAUUACUUACUAUAAAAACAAGAGGAAUGCAUCGAGAUUAGGUAAAGAAAGAAGCUGACAUUUACCAAAAUAAGCACAAACAGCAUGCAGGGCAUGCAGGAAAAAUAAAAUGGUAAUAGUGUGAAAUACAUGAAAUAUUUAUCAUACUCAGCAAUGCACAAAAUAGAUUAUAAUCUGAGAAGCAAAGAAAUGCCAGGCUUGAAAAGGAAUACUCCCUUACAUACUGCUGUUAGACAAAGCAGAUUAAGUGGAGGGGGCAAACACAGGAGACAGGAAAUGUUGUACGUAUGUUGCGUGUCCUGAGAAAGGUUACAAAGGUUGUUACUGAGAGUGCUGAAAAGGUAAAAAUACCAACCAAACAAGAAAUGUUUCACAAAACGAGGGAAAAAUGUGUCAAUGACACCUUCCAUAACAUAUGAUCAAGGGGUAACUUUCUAAUGGAUUGUUACUUUAGAAACCAAUCUUAUUUUCAAUGUGAUAGGUCAGUAUUAUUCAGUGCCUUAUAAUAAAGACAGAAAAAGAAUUAUUAUUUCCUACUAUGUCUGAAUACUUGGAGGAAAAAUGGUGUUAACUAGUUUUAAUUAAAACUUUGCUGAAACAAUGGAAAAUAUCAAUAUGGUAUAAUUUUUCAUCCUUUUCAGCAAAGCCUGAUACAGUAAACUUUAGCAUUAAGCAAGACUGACCACUACAGAAGAAAAGAAUGAAGGAUGAGUUUCAGCUGGCAGUAUGCGCCUUGCACUAUGAUAGAGGAAAAGGACCGUGCAGAUAAUUUGAGAGAUGUAGAGCUGAUUAUAAUAGAGCAGGUAUUUAAAAAUAUUAUUAGGAAGAAGAUUUGGGACUAAAACCCCACUUGACAAAAACAACUGCCGGAUAUGACACUAUCAACCCCCCUAAAAAAAACCAAACCAAACAAAAAUAUUAAAAUAUGUUUUAAAAUAACUUGUGCUUUAGUGUUCACAAAUCAUGGUCAAAAAUAACUCCUUAAAAUGUUCAGGUUAAAACAAUGUGAUUAAUCUAAAAAGCAGAGACAGUGAAUUAAAGGAGCAGGGAGAUAACAAUCUGAUAAUACAGGAGCACAGAAGGCCUAAUAAUGAUAUUAUUAUGCAUACUAACCAAACACUGACAAACAAAUAUUCUGGUAAUUAUAUAAUCAUGCAUAUGUUUCCUAUGCCUGAGAUAAAUGAUUUUGGAAAAUAACUCUAUUCUUGAAACUGCAUGUAUGUACUAAACCUUAUGAACUGCCUACAACAAUCUAAUUCCCGUACAUCACUUCUGCCUGGUAAAGUAUUUACGACAGGCUUGGAAGGCUGAGUGUGGAACCCUUGCUUGGAUGAGAAAGCACAAAUUACUGAAGGCUGCCAUGUGUCUUGACAUAUCGACAACAAUCAGAUCUCUUAUCAAUACCAAACUACUUGGAAUAAAUUCAAGAUACAGAUAUCUGAUUUUCCUUUGACCUAUUCCAAUUUGCACUUCACUUUGUCAACUUUAAUAUUAAAACGUUCCACUAGAAUAAAGAUAUUUGCAAUAAAAACAUAUAUAAAGAACAGAAGAUGAAUAGAUACUGUCAUGGAUACAUAUGCAGACAAUCAUUUAAACGUGCCGCAAUUGUAACAUCACAUUUUUCAUAGCUUCUAGUCAACAUAAAGCAGACAAAUAUAUACUUAAUAAAGCUUAUUAAUCCUUAACAAA